AGCAAAUCCACCCUCUCAGCUCAGCCCAGCCCUGUCCUGACCUCAGGAGGUGGUCAGCCCCCAGUGACCCCCCUGGACAUCCUGAUCGCAGGACAGAUCCGUGAGACAGCCUCCCUCUCAGUGCAACCAGGCCCCACUGUGGUCUCGGGAGAUAACAUGGCCCUCCUGUGUCAGAUGCAAAGCUGGGUGGACAGACACUUUCCUUCUUUCUGAGGAGGAUGCAGCUGACAAGACCCCACCCUCGUAUCUAAUAUCAAAGUACCCUACUCCGUGGUAGAGGUUGAAUUCUCCAUGAGUCCCGUGACCUCAGCCCAUGCAGGGACCUACAGGUGCUAUGCCUCAUAGAGUGUUUAACCCAAGAUGUUGUUCCCCCAGUGACCUCCUGGUAAUACAAGAUUUACUAAGAAAUUGUUUUAGGCAGAUAGUAAGGGUAAAGGUUCUUGGUGGAAAUUUUCCAGUAAUAAGGAACAAUCCCUGAACCAUCUCUUUUCUAACAGAAAUGACAGCUUAAAUGGCCCGGCCAGCAAGCUUAAUGUGCAAAUGCCAGCCAUUAAAAACUGGGUUCACUCAAUAUGGUGAUUCCUACUGUCUUCUCUUUGUUACCACCUGUGCCAAGUGUGAUGGCCACCUCCAGAUAACACCAUGUAUUCAAAACAUCAUGGUGACCCGCAUUUGCAUAUUAAAAGGCUAAGGUGGGAGGGACAGAUUUUUUUGUGGGCUAUGGAAAUGACACACCUGGUCAAACCAAUCCCCUGGGCCCUAUGCAAACCAGACACCACCUCCUCCAGCCUCCCAAUAUAAGCAACCACUUUUCCACGACACAUGGGGUUCCUGUUUGUUCCAAGCUCCCCUGCCUCUGUCUCUGUAUGGCGAGCUGUUUUCUUCUUUCUUUCUUCUUUCUUGCCUAUUAAACUUUUUGCUCCU
rnacentral:lncRNA from 1 species